rnacentral:lncRNA from 1 species
CGGGGCCGCCCGCCUGCGGGCCUCCGGAGCUGCGGCCGCGCUGAGGGCCUGCGUGGGCUGCCGCCGCCGCCGCACGGCCGCCCGCGGCCCCGUCGUGUCCCAUGGAGCAGCUUCCCUGGGGCCGCGGGCCCCUCCCUCUGCGGAUGCCGGCCCUGCCCGCAGAGCUGAGAACCUGAGCCGCCGGAGCGGCGCUUCCGCGAGGCUCACUGUCCGUCGACCAGUCCCGGCACUUGCGGGCCCCUGGGCCGCCCAGGGGCGGUGGACAGGCCCUGCCCAGCCCGCGCGCGGACGGGAGCGGGGUUGCCGGCCUGGGCCCUUAACUCGGCGACCCGACGGAGGGGGCCCUGGGGAGGGGAGGCCGGCGGGGAGGCGCGGCACAAGGAGAAGAGCGGCCGGCGAGGGCGGCGGCUUCGGAGGCCGGGGCCGCGGCCGCAGGUCGACGCUCGGAGGCUGCGCGGCCGGUCCCGGGCGCAGGCGCCCCAGCCGGAGGCCCCGUGGCCGAAGCCGGCGAGUCCCGCCGCGGAAGGGCCCGCGCGAACCUCGGCUGUGAGCCGCAGGGCCCAGCGCUGGUCUCGGGCAGCGGAGGGGGCUAACUUCGGCGUCCUGAGGGGAGGCCCCGCGAGGCAGCCACCAGGGAAGCCUGAGGAGACGGCGCUGGGGCGCCGGGCCGGAGCGGCCCGCCCGGAGCGCGCGCGGAGCCCUGACCGCACACCCCGCGCCGCGGGCCGGGUCCGAGAGGCGAGUGGGCUGAAUCCCUGCCCUCCGGGAACGACGACGGUUGAGCUGCUUCCUAGAGGGCAAAUCUGGCAGAGGCACAGAAUUGGCAUUUUGCUUGGUAGAAAUGAAAGGAGAACGAAUUGCAAAGUAUUUAUGUUGAUGGACCAUGAAGUCGAUCAUGGAGAGGGAGAAAAUAAAGGCAACAGGUUGCUCAUGGACAGGGAAAAGUGGAAGAAUCAAUGGACUGGACAAGGUUGAAGAACUGGCCUCUUUAGGACAAAUCUGGAGGUUGAAGUCAGAAGGUGGGAUCCCAGACUGUAUUAUUUCAGAAGGCAGAGCAGUUCCUGAUGAUGAGGCUUCAGGUGUGGCCACAGAUGAAUGAGAGCAGAGAUAAAGGACUGAGAUGAAAAGGUCCAGGAACUGAGAGGCUAGGUCAUUGAAUGGCCUAUCCACACAGAUGUCUGAGUCUCUCAUAGACUCCCCCCUUCAAAAUCUCUGCCCUGGGCCCCAUCCAGCCCCUUCCCCAGCCUCCAGAGGAUCUGCAUUCACACUUCAACUUAAGCCUCAGAUCCCAAAAGGGUAACGAUGCACUGGGCCUGAAGCCAGAAUGGGGUAGUUAGAGAGGGCUCUAGUGGACAUCUGUUUUGUUUUAUUUCGUUUUGUUUUGAUGCCAGCACGCAUACAUCUUUCUGGAAAAAGUAUGUCACUGUCCUCUGGAGGAACUACCCAUUUCUUCAGUCUCAGUGCACGAGCAGGUGG